UUUCCGUAGGUGAACCUGCGGAAGGAUCAUUAAAGUUAUAGUCCCCUGGCCCUCUGGGCUGGGGUCUUCUAUACCACCCUUUGUUUAUUACACCUUUGUUGCUUUGGCAGGCCUGCUCUCGGGCUGCUGGCUCCGGCCGGCUCGCGUCUGCCAGAGGACCUAAACUCUGUUUGUAUAUGAAGUCUGAGUACUAUAUAAUAGUUAAAACUUUCAACAACGGAUCUCUUGGUUCUG
rnacentral:misc_RNA from 1 species